rnacentral:rRNA from 1 species
CAGUCGCCGCGGUAAUACGAAGGGUGCAAGCGUUACUCGGAAUUACUGGGCGUAAAGCGUGCGUAGGUGGUUGUUUAAGUCUGCUGUGAAAGCCCUGGGCUCAACCUGGGAAUUGCAGUGGAUACUGGGCAACUAGAGUAAGGUAGAGGAUAGUGGAAUUUCCGGUGUAGCAGUGAAAUGCGUAGAGAUCGGAAGGAACAUCUGUGGCGAAGGCGACUAUCUGGGCCAUUACUGACACUGAGGCACGAAAGCGUGGGGAGCAAACAGGAUUAGAUACCCCAGUAGUCCCUGUCUCUUAUAC